rnacentral:rRNA from 1 species
GAUGAACGCUGGCGGCGUGCUUAACACAUGCAAGUCGAACGAAGCACUUUAUUUGAUUUCCUUCGGGACUGAUUAUUUUGUGACUGAGUGGCGGACGGGUGAGUAACGCGUGGGUAACCUGCCUUGUACAGGGGGAUAACAGUUGGAAACGGCUGCUAAUACCGCAUAAGCGCACAGCAUCGCAUGAUGCAGUGUGAAAAACUCCGGUGGUAUAAGAUGGACCCGCGUUGGAUUAGCUAGUUGGUGAGGUAACGGCCCACCAAGGCGACGAUCCAUAGCCGACCUGAGAGGGUGACCGGCCACAUUGGGACUGAGACACGGCCCAAACUCCUACGGGAAGCAGCAGUGGGGAAUAUUGCAAAAUGGGGGAAAGCCUGAUGCAGCGACGCCGCGUGAGCGAAGAAGUAUUUCGGUAUGUAAAGCUCUAUCAGCAGGGAAGAUAAUGACGGUACCUGACUAAGAAGCACCGGCUAAAUACGUG